rnacentral:rRNA from 1 species
GAUGAACGCUGGCGGCGUGCCUAAUACAUGCAAGUCGAGCGAACGGACGAGAAGCUUGCUCCUCUGAUGUUAGCGGCGGACGGGUGAGUAACACGUGGAUAACCUACCUAUAAUUCUGGGAUAACUUCGGGAAACCGGAGCUAAUACCGGAUGAUAUUUUGAACCGCAUGGUUCAAAAGUUAAAGACGGUCUUGCUGUCUCUUAUAGAUGGAUCCGCGCUGCAUUAGCUAGUUGGUAAGGUAACGGCUUACCAAGGCAACGAUGCGUAGCCGACCUGAGAGGAUGAUCGGCCACACUGGAACUGAGACACGGUCCAGACUCCUACGGGAGGCAGCAGUAGGGAAUCUUCCGCAAUGGGCGAAAGCCUGAUGGAGCAACGCCGCGUGAGUGAUGAAGGUCUUCGGAUCGUAAAACUCUGUUAUUAGGGAAGAACAUAUGUGUAAGUAACUGUGCACAUCUUGACGGUACCUAAUCAGAAAGCCACGGCUAACUACGUG